UACGGAGGGUGCAAGCGUUGUUCGGAAUUACUGGGCGUAAAGCGCGUGCAGGCGGUUGAGCAAGUCAGAUGUGAAAGCCUUCCGCUUAACGGAAGAAGUGCAUUUGAAACUACUCGGCUAGAGUUCGAGAGAGGAGAGUGGAAUUCCCGGUGUAGAGGUGAAAUUCGUAGAUAUCGGGAGGAACACCGGUGGCGAAGGCGGCUCUCUGCUCGAUACUGACGCUGAGACGCGAAAGCGUGGGGAGCAAACAGG
rnacentral:rRNA from 1 species